rnacentral:rRNA from 1 species
UACUGAGGGAGCUAGCGUUGUUCGGAAUUACUGGGCGUAAAGCGCACGUAGGCGGCUUUGUAAGUUAGAGGUGAAAGCCCGGGGCUCAACUCCGGAACUGCCUUUAAGACUGCAUCGCUUGAAUCCAGGAGAGGUGAGUGGAAUUCCGAGUGUAGAGGUGAAAUUCGUAGAUAUUCGGAAGAACACCAGUGGCGAAGGCGGCUCACUGGACUGGUAUUGACGCUGAGGUGCGAAAGCGUGGGGAGCAAACAGG